GACAGAGGGUGCGAACGUUGUUCGGAAUUACUGGGCGUAAAGCGCGUGUAGGCGGCAGCGCAAGUCGGGCGUGAAAUCCCACGGCUCAACCGUGGAAGUGCACUCGAAACUGCGCAGCUAGAGUCCUGGAGAGGAAGGUGGAAUGCUUGGUGUAGAGGUGAAAUGCGCAGAUAUCAGGAGGAACACCGGUGGCGAAGGCGGGGUCUCUGGGCCGAUACUGACGUGGAGGAGCGAAAGCGUGGGGAGCGAACAGG
rnacentral:rRNA from 1 species